rnacentral:lncRNA from 1 species
UUCUACAUAUACUACUUUUGCACGUUGUGAAUUGAAUUGUGCGCGAUUAUUGAACGAUGUGGACAUUUUUUCGCCCUGUGUUCGGCAGGAGAGGGAGGAGGAGGUGCUUGCUCUAGCUGCCAUAUUUGGCGAUGACUUUUCCAAGCAUCAUGAUGGGCUUGGAUUUGACCUUAUCGUCGUGCCUCACCCGGGCAUGCUGGAUGAAAACCUUGUCCGCGUGAAACUUUCCAUCCGGUAAGAUGGUGGAUUACUGAAAACUGUACGCGGCAUGUUGCUUUCACGGCAAGAUUUGCAUGGAGCUGUCGGGGAUGCGAAGCGACACUGGCUGCAAGCGGCUGACAGCCCACCACCUGCAAAGCAACUAUGCAAAGCCUCUUAUCUGUUUCUGAUGCCCCCUACCUCCUGCCUUUCAUCUGCACAGUUACCCUCACCACUAUCCGGCACAGCCGGUUACCCUCAAGCUAAAGGAACCUGAAGGCUUGUCCGCCGAAGAAUGCCGGGACCUCCUCUCACAUCUGGCCGAAAGCGCCGCAGAACACGCGGAGUUGGAGGAGGUAGGCCGGGCACCUGCUCCGGUGACUGGCAGCGGGCGCAAAAGCCUGCUUCGUCCCGCCUAUCUGGCUCCCAGCCAGAGGGCUUCAUGCGCAGCUUAACUCCCGG